ACAUCAGUGAGGCAUAUCCUUACCUGUUACCUUAUAAAUAAGGUUUCAGUUCAUGAUGAUUGGAUUCUAUGAAUAUGUGAUUAUUUUCCAUAUUUGUUUUGGGAUACAACCCCUUAAUGAUUCCUAUCUGAU